UACGUAGGGUGCGAGCGUUAAUCGGAAUUACUGGGCGUAAAGCGUGCGCAGGCGGUUUUGUAAGCCAGAUGUGAAAUCCCCGGGCUUAACCUGGGAAUGGCAUUUGGGACUGCAAGGCUGGAGUGUGGCAGAGGAGACUGGAAUUCCUGGUGUAGCAGUGAAAUGCGUAGAUAUCAGGAGGAAUACCGAUGGCGAAGGCAGGUCUCUGGGCUGACACUGACGCUCAUGCACGAAAGCGUGGGGAGCAAACAGGAUUAGA
rnacentral:rRNA from 1 species